UUAAGUUAAUAAGGGCGCACGGUGGAUGCCUUGGCACUAGGAGCCGACGAAGGACGUGACAAACGACGAUAUGCCUUGGGUAGCUGUAAGUAAGCGAUGAUCCAGGGAUUUCCGAAUGGGGGAACCCAACAGGUAUAGCAGUAUCCUGAGUACGGCGGGACACGUGAAAUCCCGUCGGAAUCUGGGAGGACCAUCUCCCAACCCUAAAUACUCCCUAGUGACCGAUAGUGAACCAGUACCGUGAGGGAAAGGUGAAAAGCACCCCGGGAGGGGAGUGAAAUAGAACCUGAAACCGUGUGCCUACAACAAGUUCGAGCCCGUUAAUGGGUGAGAGCGUGCCUUUUGUAGAAUGAACCGGCGAGUUACGUUAUGAUGCGAGGUUAAGUUGAAGAGACGGAGCCGUAGGGAAACCGAGUCUGAAUAGGGCGCCUUAGUAUCAUGACGUAGACCCGAAACCAUGUGACCUACCCAUGAGCAGGUUGAAGGUGCGGUAAGACGCACUGGAGGACCGAACCAGGGCACGUUGAAAAGUGCUUGGAUGACUUGUGGGUAGCGGAGAAAUUCCAAACGAACUUGGAGAUAGCUGGUUCUCUCCGAAAUAGCUUUAGGGCUAGCGUCGACAUUAGAGAUUCUUGGAGGUAGAGCACUGUUUGGGUGAGGGGUCCAUCCCGGAUUACCAAUCUCAGAUAAACUCCGAAUGCCAAUGAAUUAUGGUCGGCAGUCAGACUGCGAGUGCUAAGAUCCGUAGUCGAAAGGGAAACAGCCCAGACCACCAGCUAAGGUCCCAAAAUAAUUGUUAAGUGGAAAAGGAUGUGGGGUUGCACAGACAACUAGGAUGUUAGCUUAGAAGCAGCUAUUCAUUCAAAGAGUGCGUAAUAGCUCACUAGUCGAGUGACCCUGCGCCGAAAAUGUACCGGGGCUAAAACAAUUUACCGAAGCUGUGGAUACCUUUAUAGGUAUGGUAGGAGAGCGUUCUAUGUGUGAUGAAGGUAUACCGUGAGGAGUGCUGGAACGCAUAGAAGUGAGAAUGCCGGUAUGAGUAGCGAAAGACAGGUGAGAAUCCUGUCCACCGUAAGACUAAGGUUUCCAGGGGAAGGCUCGUCCGCCCUGGGUUAGUCGGGACCUAAGGAGAGACCGAAAGGUGUAUCCGAUGGACAACAGGUUGAUAUUCCUGUACUAGAGUAUGUAGUGAUGGAGGGACGCAGUAGGCUAACUAAAGCAGACGAUUGGAAGAGUCUGUCUAAGCAGUGAGGUGUGAAUUGAGUCAAAUGCUUAAUUCUAUAACAUUGAGCUGUGAUGGGGAGCGAAGUUUAGUAGCGAAGUUAGUGACGUCACACUGCCAAGAAAAGCUUCUAGCGUUUAAACAUACUCUACCCGUACCGCAAACCGACACAGGUAGUCGAGGCGAGUAGCCUCAGGUGAGCGAGAGAACUCUCGUUAAGGAACUCGGCAAAAUGACCCCGUAACUUCGGGAGAAGGGGUGCUGACUUUAAGUCAGCCGCAGUGAAUAGGCCCAAGCAACUGUUUAUCAAAAACACAGCUCUCUGCUAAAUCGUAAGAUGAUGUAUAGGGGGUGACGCCUGCCCGGUGCUGGAAGGUUAAGAGGAGUGCUUAGCGUAAGCGAAGGUAUGAAUUGAAGCCCCAGUAAACGGCGGCCGUAACUAUAACGGUCCUAAGGUAGCGAAAUUCCUUGUCGGGUAAGUUCCGACCCGCACGAAAGGCGUAAUGAUUUGGGCACUGUCUCAACGAGAGACUCGGUGAAAUUUUAGUACCUGUGAAGAUGCAGGUUACCCGCGACAGGACGGAAAGACCCCAUGGAGCUUUACUGCAGUUUGAUAUUGAGUGUCUGUACCACAUGUACAGGAUAGGUAGGAGUCUAAGAGAUCGGGACGCCAGUUUCGAAGGAGACGCUGUUGGGAUACUACCCUUGUGUUAUGGCCACUCUAACCCAGAUAGGUGAACCCUAUCGGAGACAGUGUCUGACGGGCAGUUUGACUGGGGCGGUCGCCUCCUAAAAGGUAACGGAGGCGCCCAAAGGUUCCCUCAGAAUGGUUGGAAAUCAUUCGCAGAGUGUAAAGGUAUAAGGGAGCUUGACUGCGAGAGCUACAACUCGAGCAGGGACGAAAGUCGGGCUUAGUGAUCCGGUGGUUCCGUAUGGAAGGGCCAUCGCUCAACGGAUAAAAGCUACCCUGGGGAUAACAGGCUUAUCUCCCCCAAGAGUUCACAUCGACGGGGAGGUUUGGCACCUCGAUGUCGGCUCGUCGCAUCCUGGGGCUGUAGUCGGUCCCAAGGGUUGGGCUGUUCGCCCAUUAAAGCGGCACGCGAGCUGGGUUCAGAACGUCGUGAGACAGUUCGGUCCCUAUCCGUCGCGGGCGUAGGAAAUUUGAGAGGAUCUGCUCCUAGUACGAGAGGACCAGAGUGGACUUACCGCUGGUGUACCAGUUGUCUUGCCAAAGGCAUCGCUGGGUAGCUAUGUAGGGAAGGGAUAAACGCUGAAAGCAUCUAAGUGUGAAACCCACCUCAAGAUGAGAUUUCCCAUGAUUAUAUAUCAGUAAGAGCCCUGAGAGAUGAUCAGGUAGAUAGGUUAGAAGUGGAAGUGUGGCGACACAUGUAGCGGACUAAUACUAAUAGCUCGAGGACUUAUCCAA
rnacentral:rRNA from 1 species